AGGGUGAAAUGGAAAAAUCAAUUAAAGUAUUGAUUAUUUCUUUGUGUAUCUGCCCCUGGCCAAAUCAAUGAAACAAUGCGUGCACGCUCCCUGAAGUAAUUCACACCAGACACAGGUUUUAGGUUGUUGAAUAACUUGAGGAAAGUUUAUUCAGAGGGGACGGCAGGUCCCUUUUAAAGCAAAAUUACAUCAUAAGCAUUGUCAGCGAUAACAUGGAAUAAUACAUCAAUAAUUGGUUAAGUGUUAAGUGUUUUAUUCAAAG